UCGGGAAUUUUGGGCAAUGGGGGAAGCCCUGACCCAGCAACGCCGCGUGAAGGAUGAAGUAUUUCGGUAUGUAAACUUCGAAAGAAUAGGAAGAAUAAAUGACGGUACUAUUUAUAAGGUCCGGCUAACUACGUGCCAGCAGCCGCGGUAAUACGUAGGGACCAAGCGUUGUUCGGAUUUACUGGGCGUAAAGGGCGCGUAGGCGGCAAUUCAAGUCAUCUGUGAAAUCUCCGGGCUUAACUCGGAACGGUCAGAUGAUACUGCUUUGCUAGAGUGCAGAAGGGGCAAUCGGAAUUCUUGGUGUAGCGGUGAAAUGCGUAGAUAUCAAGAGGAACACCUGAGGUGAAGACGGGUUGCUGGGCUGACACUGACGCUGAGGCGCGAAAGCCAGGGGAGCAAACAGGAUUAGAUACCCUAGUAGUCCCUGAGCGGGCUGGCAAGGCGCAU
rnacentral:rRNA from 1 species